AAUCUUGAAACUGAAGUCUGUUUCAAAGUUUGAAAAAUGGCCAUUUUGUUACUAAAAAUAGAACAAAAUGGCGGAUUUUUCGAAAUUUGAAUCACUCUAUCUUUGCAGUGACUGGUCGUACUUCGAAACAGACUUCAGUUUCAAGAUU